rnacentral:rRNA from 1 species
GACGAACGCUGGCGGCGUGCUUAACACAUGCAAGUCGAACGGAAAGGCCCUGCUUUUGUGGGGUGCUCGAGUGGCGAACGGGUGAGUAACACGUGAGUAACCUGCCCUUGACUUUGGGAUAACUUCAGGAAACUGGGGCUAAUACCGGAUAGGAGCUCCUGCUGCAUGGUGGGGGUUGGAAAGUUUCGGCGGUUGGGGAUGGACUCGCGGCUUAUCAGCUUGUUGGUGGGGUAGUGGCUUACCAAGGCUUUGACGGGUAGCCGGCCUGAGAGGGUGACCGGCCACAUUGGGAAUGAGAUACGGCCCAGACUCCUACGGGAGGCAGCAGUGGGGAAUAUUGCACAAUGGGCGGAAGCCUGAUACAGCAACGCCGCGUGCGGGAUGACGGCCUUCGGGUUGUAAACCGCUUUCGCCUGUGACGAAGCGUGAGUGACGGUAAUGGGUAAAGAAGCACCGGCUAACUACGUG